ensembl:lncRNA
AAAUACUUUGUUUCUGCAUCAAGAGAGAGGAGCAAAACCACUGUGGGGGGAAAACAGCAGUUAAGGCUCUUCAGUGAACAAGACUGCAGGCUUAGUCCCAAACGUGGGCAAUGGAGAUGGACUAAGAGAAGUGGAAGAAAGUGAUGUGGAGAGUCUGCAGUGGAGAAAGAGGUUCCUCUGGGGAGCAAUUUCAGACUGCUUACAUCCAGAUCUGCCAUGGAGCAGGGAAUUAGGAAAUCAGCCAGUCAAGGACGGCUUGGUUCUGACCUAACCCCUGAGAAUCAACCAGGUGGAGCCUGUGAUGAAUGUAUUCCUGCCCUUCUGCACCAGCUGAGCUCAUUUUGCUGUGCUGAAUUCAUGACAAGACAAGAAAGAUGACGUGAAACUAGUGAGGUCAAUAUGCCUUCUGCUGCAACUUCUGUUUGGGGUGCUGCACGAAGAGGCUGAGCCUCCUGGACAGCACAGCUCCUGGGCUCCCACCCUCUCUGCACCUUCACAUCUGGUGUCACUCAGUGUGGAAAGGACUGGGCACUGCAUCACCACUUGGUGAGCUCCAGGGAGACCAGAGGCUGGGGGGAACCCUUAGGCGUGUCUCUCACUUCUGCAUAGCAGCUGAUGGGGCUGUGGCUUGGGAAAUGUGCCGGUACUCACUUUAAUUAUUAAGAUAAAGCAGAGGCACAGAGAUGGUUUACUUGGACUGCGGUGCUCUGGAUGCAAUUUUCUGUCUUCCGUUCCACUUCUCAGAUUAUAAACUUGUACAGCACAGAGGAUUUCUGUGUAGAAGUAUCAGAAGAGUCUCAGCUUUCACCACUCCUGCAAAAUUUAAUAUUAAAUAAAAAUGCCAUUGUAGAGUCCUUUUUUUUUUUUUUUAAGUGCAAAACAAUCUCUGCUCAUCUACUCAUACCUACUGCCAAUAGUACCUGCAAUAGUAGUUGUGGGUUUAUCUUACCAGGGAGCUGCUUGUCAGUGAAGGACAGCCAGGAGCUGGGUGUAAGCAAGGUGUGGGACAGGGCCCCCACUGCAUGGUGUUGCAUGGGCACCAUUCUGCAGUGGCUGAGCAAGGAAAGGGCAGGGCUGUUGAGGAACUGCCUGAUGGUCCCCAGGUAGGUCUCUUGUGAUGCAACAGGUCUGAGGUCACAUUGGGGCGCACAGGGUUAGGCUCAAGGUAGGACUGAGGGCAACAACUGUAGCUUAAAUACAUGAGAAAAGCAGGUGUAGGAGGCCCUAAUGUGGCUCUGUGCAUCUCUGCCACACAUCAUUUGUUCCAACAACCUGAAUGAGGCUUAUGCUGCUGCCCCAUAGCAAAGAUAGGAUUGAGAACAGUCAGCCAAAAUCUUGGAUAGGAAGCAGACGCUGCAGAGCCUGGGGGUGUGCAUGGAGCACAAACACAACCAUCCUGCAGGAUGGUAAGGCUACAUUUUCUGUAGGACACUGCUGAGUGGGAAACACAGUCUUCGUCAAGAGGAUCAAUAUGUACCUGGGGCUCAGUGUCAAUCAGGAUUUCAGCAACUGUAUGCCACUACUUUGUUAUUAAGUGUUUUGCAGGAUAAAGUUGAUAUGGUAACAAGAGUAUCAUCCUUAUUUUAAAAAAUGAUUUUAAAAUUUCCACAACUCAAAAAUAGAUAGCCUGCAUGAAAAUAAUGCUUUGUAGAAAGACACAAUAUAUUUCUAUCCUACUCUGGGGAGGUUUCUGAGCAUUAUUAUCAUAUUGUGAUGCUAUGCUACGAUUAAUCACCCCUUUUAGUGAUGCAGCAAUAAACUUAAAGGUUUAGAUUUUCAUCUUGUGUAAAUCAAUAUGGGUUUAUUGACUUCAGUGGAACUCUGCCAGGUGAAUAUCUGGCCCCAGACAUCAAACUGAGCUUGUACAGAGAUGUUUAAUAAAGCAAGAGAUCUGUGUUUUCACAGUAGAUAAAUGACUUUACAGGAGAUGCUGAAGUCUCUUGUGGCACCCCUCUUCCAAGAAGUUUUAUUUUAAUCAUUCUCAUAAAGUCUCUUAGUUGCAACAAUAAUGCUAAGUGCCUGACACAAAGCGAAGGAAAUCUGCUUUCCAGAUAACUACUAGAAUGAAAUUUCAUUCUUUAGUCGUUGUUUUAAUUUACUUGUUCCCCUAGGAUUUUUAUUCUGUUAUUUCCUCCCUUUUACUAGCACUAGGGCUAAUGCUCAAACCCACUUUGUUGGUCCUUAUCCAGAUAGGCUUCUAGGUGCUGACAGUGAUCUAGGUCAAUAGUACAAAGUGUUGAUUAUUUAUUCUUUUCUAGAACUGUGCUAUAAAACAGGCAUUUAAAGCACAACCACCCAGUUUGUAUUGUCAGUUUGUCAUGUCAGUAAUCCUGCUUCAUGUUCAUCAAGUAAGAACAGAUGCAAUCCUACAUUAAAUAUGAAGGAGCUGAGGAAGUAUUCAAAUACAAAGUUGUUUAAACAGUGAUUUUUGGAUAAUGCAGCACACUAGUGCUUAUGGGACUACGUGUGAGGAAAUCUCAUUUAAGCCACUUGUGAUGGUAAUAAAAUCACAAAUUUAGCAGCACAAAGAUAGCAUUACUCAAAUGCCUAUGCAUCUGAAUAAAAAUGCCUUCUCAUCUCUUUGAAAUAUCAAAUAUGUUUAGCUCUCAGAAGAGUCAAUAGCAACUACACAUGCUCAACAGUUCUGAAAAUCAGAUAAGCGUCUGUUUACUUGCCCAGAUAUGUAUACCCAUGCCAACUCUGAGUCACAAAUUUGACAAAUUUGAUCUCUGUCUUCAGUCAAAACUGCUUCUUGCUUGCACAUUUCUGUAUAAGUAUGUGAUUAAACAGCUCUGAUUCCUUUUCAAUUUGUUUCAUUUAACAUUUAUACUAACUCCUUUUCAUUUGAUUGUCCAUGUCUAUUCUAACUAGAUUAAUUUUGGAUGAGUUGGUAAAUAAUAAAGUGGAG